rfam:Gorilla gorilla gorilla genomic chromosome, chr20, whole genome shotgun sequence
GCCAGGCAUAGUGGUGUGUGCCUGUAGUCCCAGCUACUUGGGAGGCCAAGGUGGGAGGAUCGCUUGAGCCCAGGAGGUCAAGGCAGCGGUGGGCUGAAAUUGUGCCACUGCACUCCAGCCUGGGCCACAGAGUGAGAUCCUAUCUCAA